GAUGAACGCUGGCGGCGUGCCUAAUACAUGCAAGUCGAGCGAACAGAUGAGGAGCUUGCUCCUCUGACGUUAGCGGCGGACGGGUGAGUAACACGUGGAUAACCUACCUAUAAGACUGGGAUAACUUCGGGAAACCGGAGCUAAUACCGGAUAAUAUAUUGAACCGCAUGGUUCAAUAGUGAAAGACGGUUUUGCUGUCACUUAUAGAUGGAUCCGCGCCGCAUUAGCUAGUUGGUAAGGUAACGGCUUACCAAGGCAACGAUGCGUAGCCGACCUGAGAGGGUGAUCGGCCACAAUGGAACUGAGACACGGUCCAGACUCCUACGGGAGGCAGCAGUAGGGAAUCUUCCGCAAUGGGCGAAAGCCUGACGGAGCAACGCCGCGUGAGUGAUGAAGGUCUUCGGAUCGUAAAACUCUGUUAUUAGGGAAGAACAAAUGUGUAAGUAACUAUGCGCGUCUUGACGGUACCUAAUCAGAAAGCCACGGCUAACUACGUG
rnacentral:rRNA from 1 species